rnacentral:tRNA from 1 species
GUGGAUGUGGCCUAAUGGUUAGGGCACCUGACUGUGGUCCAGGCGGCUGUGGGUUCGAGUCCCAUCAUCCACCCCA